rnacentral:rRNA from 1 species
AACGAACGCUGGCGGCAUGCCUAACACAUGCCAGUCGAACGAGACCUUCGGGUCUAGUGGCGCACGGGUGCGUAACGCGUGGGAACCUGCCCUUAGGUUCGGAAUAACUCCCCGAAAGGGGUGCUAAUACCGGAUAAUGUCUUCGGACCAAAGAUUUAUCGCCUUUGGAUGGGCCCGCGUUGGAUUAGCUAGUUGGUAGGGUAAAAGCCUACCAAGGCGACGAUGCGUAGCUGGUCUGAGAGGAUGAUCAGCAACACUGGGACUGAGACACGGCCCAGACUCCGACGGGAGGCAGCAGUAGGGAAGCUUCCGCAAUGGGCGGAAGGCUGACGGAGCAACGCCGCGUGAGUGAUGAAGGUCUUCGGAUCGUAAAACUCGGUUAUGAGGGAAGAACAAAUGUGUAAGUAACGAUGCACGUCUUGACGGUACCUAAACAGAAAGCCACGGCUAACUACGUG